CAAGCCUUGAGCUGAGAUCAAGAGUCAGACGCUUCACCGACUGAGCCACCCAGGCACCCUUGUACUUUUGGACGUUUUAUCCAAAAUGUUAGAUGGGCUGUUCCCUCCCAGGGGAGUAUGGGGAGUCGGGGUGGGAGAGGGGUUAACAUUUACUGAAGGUCUAUGUACCUUGUGUUUUAUUUGGGUUAGUUACCUUUUCCCAACUCUAAGAAGUAACAUGAUUGUCCCUACUUCACAUAUGAAGAAACUAAAGCUCAAAAAAGGAUAAAUUCCUUGUCCCAGCUGUGCAACAGGCGACUGAGGGAAAAUUUGAAUCCACGUCUUUCUGGCCCCUAACCUCAUGCUGCUUGCCUCUGCUUCCAGUCUAAAUGUGCCAUUAAAUGGGCAGUCACUUCACUGCCUGUGACAUUAAAAAGGCAGCGUGUAAGCAUAUUAAUUCGGACAAGCAGGUGCUCAUGAGGAAAGGCAAAGACCAGGAAAAGAUAUUCAUUGGUAGGUUUGAUUCUGAGCAGGGAUUGACAGAGGUCUGCUUCUAAGACCUUAAAGGUUCAGGGCGAUGACUCCUCUGGGGGCCCUCUGUGACCAAGGCUGUCAUAUUGAGAAGGCAUGUCGACCCUUGACUUCCUUUCAGGAAAGCCACAGGAGUCCCAGUGGUGAAGUAGGCGUGCUCCUUGCCUGUCACUCUCCCCUGUGGGGUAAGUUUGGUCCAGGCCUCGGCCCCGCAUUUAGAUUAGAACCACCAAGAACCACUGUGGAAGGCACGGAGUCCAGUGCUCGCAAGGGGGUGUUAGUGGGAAGCUGAAAAUGGGCUUGUCAAGCUCCUAUCCUCGUAGUUGAGAAACCUUAUCACUAACUCAUUCAGUGUUCCUAGCCAGACCUUCCUGUGCUCUGGUCUUCCCAUCUGUAUGUGAUGUACAGACAUCUAAACCUUAGGAGGCUGUAGGUCCCAGUGCUCACAGGGGGCCACAGCAAGGAUGGGAGAGACCUGCCCAGAACCAGGCUUUGUCACGUACAUUUAUAGGACAAGGUUAAUUAAAGGAGGACUUCCCAGCACCUUGAAUGAACUAGUCCACAUGCUUUUCCAAAUGCUGAAAAGCUCCAGAAAAACAGACUGGCACUCCUCACAGCCUGACACAUCUCCGUUUCUGCUGAAAAGGGAAAGAGCGCCUCCGUGACUUUGGUUCCUGUCCUCGUUUUUAUGAUCAGACCGUUGUGGAAACAUGCUGUUAUUUUGUAAUAGUAUUUAAAUAUUUUCAGAAUCGUGUGUGAUCUAAUAGUCCACGGUGGUUUGAAUUUUAUGUUUACCCUGAUCUUCCUUCUCAUUUGUACCCCUCAGGUUGAAUUUUUUUAGAUUCAUUUUUCUGUUGUUUGACAGUAUGGAAUAGAACUAUGGCCUCUCUUGACCAUUUCGCUUACUUGUCAAGGUGCUUUUGAAUUUCAGGCCCAGCUCACAAGAAUGUGCCCCACAUAACAUGUCCCUGUUUUGAUAGCAUCUUGAAGUGCACGGGCAUAGUUGUGGGAGAACGUGUCCAACGGUACUUGGCUUACAGACCACACCUGCGAAGGGCGGUCUGUUUUCUUCCCCAGCCGGCUCUGAUGCGUGUACCUAGACCUAGACCGCACCACCCCAUCUGCUGAUAAGCACGGCCUGCUCUGCGGCCUCGGCUGUGUUUAAGUUCCUCUGCGGAGUUGUAAUCAUUAACUUAGAAGUUGCAGUUGGUGCUAACUUGACAAGGUGGACUUCUCUUCAUCACGCUGCUGAGUCACUCAGCCUUGCGCCGGGUGAAAUGUGAGCUGGUGAGAUUUAAGCUCCUCGAGAGGAACCCUCCUCGGAGCCCCCCCCUGGUCCCUCCCACCCCCUUGCUGUGACAGGUCACAUGUCAGGAGACUGAGGUGCCCUUGAAUGAUCGGUUUUCAGCAACAAAGACCUCUCUAAUGGGCGUCCCCUCCUGUGAUGUGGUGCAAGGUGCAUUCCAGCUUUAAAGUUAGACCACGGAAGGGAGAAAGUCUUGCGGUUUCAGUUCUUAAUUGCCCUCUGCCCAGCUCUGAAGCAGUGAAGGUUUACUUCCAGGCCAGUGCUGCCCUCUGCUGGCCUUCUGGAGUCCCAUGCUGCUGCAACAUGAGGUUGCAAAGUCAACUUUUAAAAUAGAAACUUCCUCACAUCUUCUAGACAGGCUGCUUUUAUGCCUUCUUUCAUGAUUAGAGCUAGAGAUUUAUACCGUAUUUUAUUUUGUAUGCCCUCUCGCUGAGCAAACCCUGGCGAUCUGCGAAAUGCGUGGCUUCACGUCAGCAGACUGUCUCCACAGCGGCUGCCACACCUGGACAGAGAGAGCACCAGCACGAGGCCCCUCAGUGCACAGGAACUUCCCCAACCUCUGUGUCUUAAGCAGGAAAGAGAAGGCGCUGAUCUUCUGAACAAAUGCCUCCUGAAGAUUUCUGCGCCUGGAAAAUAUCCAUCAGAUCGCUUUUACAUCCCCAUGUAAGUAGAGGCUUGUGCUCGUAAAUCAGCCUUAAGGGAGUUUUGUUUUAUUUUGUUCCUAGAUGAUUUCUCCAGUAAAAAGAAUUUAAUGGUCAUCGGUGUUUGAUCUUUAUUCCUUUUUUUUUUGAACACCCAAUUCCCGAUUUACUAUUGCAAAAAAAAAAAAAGCCUAUAAUAUGAACUCCUGCUUAAAAAUAAGAGUAUUGAUCCCAUGUUCGGGUCUUAGAAUAGGAAGAGGAGAGAAAGUUGGAAAAUAUUAAAGACACUCAUUUCAGUUAAUUCAGUGGGAGAUGCCGUUUGUACAUCCAAGGGUGUCUCUUCAGAUUUUAGUAGUUUUCAAACACCUCUGCAGCUAGCGACUCUGGAAUGCCUUCGUGUACAACAAAACGUAUGCAGGCAGGAUCGUGAGCCCUUUCGUUACAAACUGUGGCAGAUCUCUCAGACACGUCUCUGCUCACGGUGUGCUGAAGGAAGACUGAUUUAUUAUUCCCAACAGCACAGCCAUCAUUUACUGAAUGUUUGCCUUGUGCUCUUUCUAGUUGAAGUUGCUUUUCCUUCUGUGUCUUAAUUCUCACAACAACCCUAUGUGGCAGGUACUGCUGUUCCCCUGAUUUGACAGGUGAGGAGACUGAAGCCCAGAGUCAAAGUAACUCACCCAAGGCGGUGCAGGGAGCCAGCUGCAGAUUUGACAUGCUGGAUCCAGAAGCUUGCACGGCCCCUCCUGCCCCACUGCCCCGCAGAAAUGGGAAACUUGGGAGAAUUGCCUGGGCUGUAUUUUGGAGAUGGUAUUUUAGCACUGUCCUGAUAGCAUGCCAUGAUCUGUUGGACGAGUUCACCAUGCUCUUUUGACUUGAGCUUCCCGAAGAUAAAUGGGAAAACGAAGCUUCCAAGAAGGUAUGACUUGCUCUAGGUCAUGCUGCAAAUCAGAAGUGUGGCUGAGGGUCCAGGUCCCUGACCCUUCAGUGCUAGCCAGACCCAGCUUAUUUCCAAGUUUUUUAGUUCCUUUAGGGGCGUUGUGUGGUGCUGCUUCUGCUAAUCGGGGCCAAAGCUGGUUUUAAUGAGUGACUGAUGUGCUCCCUGAUGAAACCCUGAAACCUGGAGCCAGUGUAUGCUCAGACAUCCCGGAGGCCAUUGAAGAAAUUCGGCCCUCCCGUAUCCUGGCCUAAAAAUACAGAACAGUCAGGCUGAUUGUUGGAGAUGGAAAACAUGGGAGAAUGGAAAGCACGCCAGUCUUUCCUUGUCGUUGAAUGUCACCAAAAGACUCCACAAAGUAAGCAGAUACUUCCCUACCCAAGUUAAGGAACCAGUCACCGUCAUCCUGUGUCCCUGUGCACGUCCCAGAGAGAGAAUGGAUGAGCCCCUGUUGUUUUAUCAACUUACUUUUGUUCAUUUCCCUCCUAGUGAACGGUGAGACGUUGUCCCCGUUGCUUUGGUAGCCAGUCUCCUCCUCACGUAGACUUCCUUUCAAGAAACUGGCCUCCUGCUCUAAAGGAUGGUGUGAACACAGAGGCCCAAACUCAAGACCUCCGUUUCCGUGUGUUCUAAGUCAUUUUAGAGUCACCAACAAAGUAUCUCAGUUUCUUCCCAAGGGCUUCAAACCUGCAGAGAAAUAUACUAAAUGACUUUGCUUAUUAAGUUUUUGCCUGCUGAAAAUGCCUUGUCAAACAGGGCUCACAGGAGGAGACAGCGAUAGGUGCGAAAGAACAUAUCCACCUUUGUUCUUCUGCCGAGUUUCUUGAGAAGCAUGCUUAAAGCAUAAUGCAGAAAACCUACCGUGUCUGAUCGGCUCUGCAAAACCAUAUGGUUGUACGUGUAGUGUGUACGUGCGUGUGCAUGUAUGUGUGUAUAUGUGGGUGUGACAUACAUUCGAGGUACGAGGACAUGUAUGGUCUCAUCAGACGUAAAUAAAA